rnacentral:rRNA from 1 species
AUACGUAGGAGGCGAGCGUUGUCCGGAAUGAUUGGGCGUAAAGGGCGCGUAGGCGGCCCGGUAAGUCUGGAGUGAAAGUCCUGUUUUUAAGAUGGGAAUUGCUUUGGAUACUGUCGGGCUUGAGUGCAGGAGAGGUAAGUGGAAUUCCCAGUGUAGCGGUGAAAUGCGUAGAGAUUGGGAGGAACACCAGUGGCGAAGGCGGCUUACUGGACGGUAACUGACGCUGAGGCGCGAAAGAGUGGGGAGCAAACAGGAUUAGUUACCCUGGUAGUCCACACUGUAAACGAUGGAUGCUAGGUGUAGGGGGUAUCGACCCCUUCUGUGCCGCAGUCAAAACAAUAAGCAUUCCGCCUGGGGAGUACGGCCGCAAGGUUGAAACUCAAAUGAAUUGACGGGG